UAUUUCUGGUCAAAAUAUUAAAAAAAAAAGCUGGUCGAAGAGAAAAAGAAAGCUACCGUGAGGCGGCAACUCAAGCUCAUUAAUUUAACUUACCCAAAAAGGAAACCAAGUGGGGAUGGGAAAUUCAGGCCAAACAAUACCGAGAUAGAGGGACCGGAAAACAGGAUGUGCGGCCAGGUACGAGGAGGCAACCAGAAAAAAAAACCACCAAGAAAAAGUAGCACGGAAGCGGAUUUUCAUUCAAGUUGCCAGCCAGGAGGAGGAAAGGAGGACGCUUUCUCCAUCUCGGCCCACAAUUUCUCCUUGGUAAUGAUUCAGCAUUAAAUUUCGGGUGACUGAAGAAAGGCAAGAAACAACAAAAUCAGCAGCGACAGCAACAGCAACAAAGAAAAUCAGUAAAAUGAAACGAUGUCGACGUCAAAGCAAAUGAAACUGAAGAUGAGACCAGAGCAAAAUUUCGGACGAACAUCAUUAGAAAGUUACUGGAAUUCGGUUGUAGCCGGAUGGUUGGGGUUUGGUGCUGGUGUUUGGCUAUAUCCAUCCGACCUUGCUAAUUGUAUGACAACGGGGGGUGGGAUUCGCCCACCUGGCCAUUGAAAUCAUUGCUCCGUUCAAGUAGCUGAGCGCACAAAACUAAGCUGCCAAUUCAAUUUCGUAAUCAGAGUGGCAUGAAAAAUUAAAUAAAACAUGCAAAUAAAAUUAUUACGCAUAAUUUGUGUGCACAGGGUGAGAUGAAGGGCUCCCGUUAGGCAAUACCAUUUUCCCGCGAGUUUUUCCGGUGCGGAGUGCCUGAUUUUAUUUCUGCUGGGAUUUUGGGUGACUGAUUCCCUUUGCAACUCAAUUUAUUUUUCUGCUUGACAAUUUAUCUUCAAAUUUAGCUCAAGAACUUUAUAUUCAUACAUUAUUAGUCUAUCCCAUUUUU
rnacentral:lncRNA from 1 species